AAGGGGGGCGGAAAUGUUUUAUGUGCUAGGGAUAACACCGUUCUCAUGAUGUUGCGCGCGCAUCCAAAAUACAAUAGACUGGCGGGCCACAGCUGUUCUGAAAUGGCGUACAAAGUGGAGUUUACAGACGAAGCUAUAGAAAGUGCUGACAGUGUGCUUCUUUUGCAGUGUUUUGGACCUAGAGUCAAAUUUCCCUUUAUCCGCAUCAUUUUGGAUCAGCUAUGGCCCGCCAAUCUGUGGCAUUUUGGACGCGCACGGAAGAUCACAAAAACGGUCCUUGUACCUGUCGCUGUUGGGAUAUCGCAAAUGCACAAAUAUUCUUAUAAUAAUAAGCACGUGAUAAGGGGGGUUUGAGGGCAUGCUUUCUCCUGGGGACUUUCAACUCCUGCAUUUUCCACAAGCUUUAUAAACGACAAUUCUUCAGGGGAAGAUCCCUAUAAAUUACUUCAGGAAUAGCGCUCCUACUCAAACCGCAUGUCCGCUGCUAUAAAAAUCAAGUACCACUGCCAGCUGGGACGAAAUAACCAAGGGAAAAUGGUCAGCUAAAUGGGUAAACGAAUCCAAGCUCAAAGUUGUAGCCUGAGGCCUUUUCCACCUGUGUGCAUUACUACGCGACCAUCGGAACUCGAUCGGCGAUUGGAGAAUCGCCAAUUCCAGUGGUAGCGUAGCAUUUCAUACUGUGGUAACCGUGAUGUAUUCUUUCUGUAUUUUAGGUACAAAUUUAGUUUUACCUCGGAUAUUUGGGGGGGAGGUGUAGGUAAAUUUUGCUCUCUCAAAGCUGUUGUUAAAAAUGCCACUGGAUUUACUAGUGACUAGAGCUAAUAUCAUGCAUUUAUCAUUGCUUUGAGCACAUACAUGUGUGACCGGGUGGUAUUUUGGGUUAUUUUAGAUUUUGCAAAGAUUUUAAGUAAGCGAUUUUUGGAUUGCGAUUAUAAUUGUUUUACGUAUUUUACGGAUUGUUUCUCAAACGUGAUUCUAAUUCGAUCCGUACACGUUUAGGAAUUUACUUUCAACAUGUUUCAAAUUCCUUUAGAUUAGUAUCAAUAGCUUGAUAGUGCUUAUUGAAUCAAGUAAGCGUCCUUUUACUAUUUCCCAGGAAGAUUUGUUUCUAAAUUUGACAGGACAAUGGACGCUGAGUAAUUUGAACGGUAGUAAAUGUUAGCUUCCCUAGAAAAAUGCGCUUCCCCAAGCGAGUAUAAAAUCGGCUGUUUUUACAGUAUUAGUUAGUUUUUUUUUUUUUUUAGUUUAGUACCGUUGAGCAAAGGAGACGCAUUGCUUGCGCGGCGUGAUGCGGGAGCGAGAUGUGCAGUUGCUCAGGGAAGACAGUCAGCAGAGAUAAGCUACAAGCUUAGAGCGCUGUCCGUACGGGCCUGUCAUGCCAGUUGUGUUCAGUUUGAUUUACCAGUUUAAAAGAUUCGUACCACUAACCCAGAGACUUAAACUAUCGGCUCAUUCCUUUGGAGUCUCCUCAGCUGGUGCCUCAUCUUGCGCAGGCGCGGUAUCUUGUUCUACUGGGGCCUCGCUUGCAGGCUGGUCUGUCGGAGCGUCUGGCCCAGUGUCUGCUGGUGGGCCGCCAUCUUCUGCUGGUUGGUUUUCUGUGAAGCAAACGAAGGAAUAAAGUCAGUGCCUCAUCAACGGACGGCAUCAAGAUGAUGACAAGGACCCUGACUAUUUGGUCCUCUAUGUGUUGAUUUGUUGCUUGCUUUCUUUCGCUUCUCCCCCACCCCCUUAAGAAUUGUUUGCCAAACAGUUUACGGCUCCUCUGAUAUUGAAGCUUGAAGAUAACGUCACAGAAACUGAAAUCAAAUCAUUCAAAAAAUCUGUGAGAAGCGCACUAUCUGAAAUACAACAUUUAGUUCUAUUUACUUUUAUUACAGCCUCACGAAUAUCACCAAUAUCUUGAUAUGAUGUAUUUUCGGCGGCAAACAGGCCUCAAAAUUUUAUUUUUGUCAAUCGAAAACUAUUCUAUUAAAAAUAUUUUUAGCGAAGAAAAACAAAAAGUUUAUUUCUUUUCAUAAACAGCACGACUAAACUAUUAUGUAUGACCAUGCGCGCAGAUGCUGACCAACAUCCGACGAUUGCAGGCUCUUCUUAGGGGAAACCACUAUAACUGUGUUACCCUUAUUCUUGUCAUUCCACGCCAUUAUGUAUAUUCUACUUUUUUCUCCCCUUUAGAUCCUCUCUCCACUGACAACAAUCCCCCACCCCUCCCCCCUUUUUUUCAUCCACCACCCUAGAUGCCAUGGUACGAAGACCCGCUUUUAACCAAAAACAACCGAAUCACUAUUCUGGACACUCCUUAUAGUCCAACUUCACUUACUGUAGCAUUAUCCCCAUAUUUACCCUCCAGUCCUUACCCCUGCCACGCACCUCUACCCGUAUCACAACCAUAAUCCCCCUAUAUGUCCCCCUUCUCCCCAGGUGCCAUGGUACGAAUACCCGCUUUAGAAAACCCCAUAGCGCGUGAUUUAGACCUGCAAAUAUGUCUGGUUGUGUUUUUCUCUUGCUCGUAAUCCUAUGCACGUCUUCAGAAUGUCUAAAUGAUUAAAUUAAGUGUGUUUUUUUUCUUCUUUC